rnacentral:rRNA from 1 species
GUAGAGUUUGAUCCUGGCUCAGGAUGAACGCUGGCGGCGUGCCUAAUACAUGCAAGUCGAACGAAGGUACUUGUACCUUAGUGGCGAACGGGUGAGUAACACGUAGGUAAUCUGCCCUCAAGACGAGGAUAACUGUUGGAAACGACAGCUAAUACUGGAUAGGUAUAUUGGAGGCAUCUCUUAUAUAUUAAAGGACCACUGGUAUGCUUGAGGAUGAACCUGCGGCGCAUUAGUUAGUUGGUGAGGUAAUGGCUCACCAAGACGAUGAUGCGUAGCCGGACUGAGAGGUUGAACGGCCACAUUGGGACUGAGACACGGCCCAAACUCCUACGGGAGGCAGCAGUAGGGAAUUUUCGGCAAUGGAGGAAACUCUGACCGAGCAACGCCGCGUGAAUGAAGACAUAUUUCGGUAUGUAAAGUUCUUUUAUUAGGGAAGAA